rnacentral:rRNA from 1 species
UUGGGAAUAUUGGACAAUGGAGGGAACUCUGAUCCAGUGACGCCGCGUGAAGGAAGAAGGUCUUCGGAUUGUAAACUUAUUUUAUCAGGGAAGAAACAAAUGACAGUACCUGAAGAAGAAGGACCGGCAAACUACGUGCCAGCAGCCGCGGUAAUACGUAGGGUCCAAGCGUUAUCCGGAUUUACUGGGUGUAAAGGGCGAGUAGACGGUUAUGCAAGUCAGCUGUGAAAACUUGGGGCUCAACCCCAAGACUGCAGCUGAAACUGUAUGACUAGAGUACAGGAGAGGUAAGUGGAAUUCCUAGUGUAGCGGUGAAAUGCGUAGAUAUUAGGAGGAACACCAGUGGCGAAGGCGACUUACUGGACUGAAACUGACGUUGAGGCGCGAAAGUGUGGGGAGCAAACA